GCGAUUAUACUAGCAAUAAUACACCGGAUCUCAUUAGAACUCCGCAGUUAAGUGUAUUUGGGCAAAAAUAAUAUUAGGAUAGGUGACUCCUUGAAAAAUCCUCGUGUUGCAUCCC